AGCGUUGUAAUGCCCUUUAGCUAAAUGAUAUUGUAGUACAAGGUUAUAGGCAACCGUCUUCUUGGCAUUUGAUCUCUCGUACAGUAAAUGCAAUGCUUUCUCUAAAGACUCUUUUUGAAGUAACGAAGAUACAUUUUUAGCCAGUUUGAAACCAUCGUUUCUUAUUAAGGAUGACUUAGUUUUUUUAUUUCGAAACUCAUUUAGAUUGUUGACUUGCUCCUUGAAUUUCAAAGCAUCAGCGAUUAAAAGGCGCUUUCGUACUAAUUUCCGCGCAUUACUUACUGAAACACUAUACGUGGUUGCAAAUUCCCGCAAGCAGAAGCGGUUUAGGAGCAAAUCGACAAAGGCCCUUCGCGGAAAUGUCCUUUUAA